rnacentral:rRNA from 1 species
UCAAAACUUUCAACAACGGAUCUCUUGGUUCUC